GCCUGAGCCAACCCGCAAGGGAGGCAGGGUCCCAAGGAGUGACCGGUAACUGGGGUGAAGUCGUAACAAGGUAGCCGUAGGGGAACCUGCGGCUGGAUCACCUCCUUUCUAAGGAGA
rnacentral:rRNA from 1 species